UACGUAGGGUGCGAGCGUUGUCCGGAAUUAUUGGGCGUAAAGAGCUCGUAGGCGGUCUGUCGCGUCGAUCGUGAAAACUUGGGGCUUAACCCUGAGCUUGCGGUUGAUACGGGCAUGACUGGAGUUCGGCAGGGGGAGACUGGAAUUCCUGGUGUAGCGGUGAAAUGCGUAGAUAUCUGGAGGAAUACCGGUGGCGAAGGCGGCAUCCUGGACCGACAUUGACGCUGAGGAGCGAAAGCUAGGGGAGCAACGGG
rnacentral:rRNA from 1 species